CAGAGGGUGCAAACGUUGUUCGGAAUUACUGGGCGUAAAGCGCGUGUAGGCGGCAGGGCAAGUCGGAUGUGAAAUCCCGUGGCUCAACCACGGAAGUGCACCCGAAACUGCCCAGCUAGAGUCUCGGAGAGGAAGGUGGAAUGCUUGGUGUAGAGGUGAAAUUCGUAGAUAUCAAGCGGAACACCGGUGGCGAAGGCGGCCUUCUGGACGAUGACUGACGCUGAGACGCGAAAGCGUGGGGAGCAAACAGGAUUAGAUACCCUGGUAGUCCACGCCGUAAACGAUGAGUGCUAGGUGUCACGGGCUUUGACCCCUGUGGUGCCGUAGCUAACGCAGUAAGCACUCCGCCUGGGGAGUACGGCCGCAAGGCUA
rnacentral:rRNA from 1 species